CUCCCAUUUGCUGUAAAAUAAUACCCUAAGCAACAAAUUAGGCACUUCAGUUAGGAGCCUAAAAUAACUGAGAUGAAAAGGGGCACUAGCAGGGAGGCUCAAUUCUGCCCUGCUAGAAUGGAGCUGACCACUUUCUCAACAGAUGGCAAAUACUGGGACUGUAAUCAUUUCGCAAGCAGAGUAUAAGGGGAUGUCUUCUGACACCAUUUCACCUUCUCAGCUGCACAAACAUAAAACUAGAAAGAGAUGGAAACAGCAAGGACUUAUAACUAGCAAGCUUCUACAAUACCCAUAACUACAAUGAAAGUACAACCACAAGAACAAUCCCUCCGGCUGGAAAAAUGCCAAGUGUGAUUUGGACAGAGUUCAACACUUCU